rnacentral:ncRNA from 2 species
GCAGACAAUUUAAAAGAAGGCCGUCUGAAAAAAGGCGGCAGGGGAAGUCAGGUGAGAAUCCUGCACAAUACCCGUUGCUGUAUUGGAGGAGUGGUAUUCCAUUAGGUCACUGUAAGUAUACUUAUGGGAAGGCGGAAUACCGUGAGGAUGCCUAAGUCAGAACACCCGCUUUUAGAUGGAUUUGGAU